AUUGAACGCUGGCGGCAGGCCUAACACAUGCAAGUCGAGCGGGGUUUUCGGACCUAGCGGCGGACGGGUGAGUAAUGCGUAGGAAGCUACCCGAUAGAGGGGGAUACCAGUUGGAAACGACUGUUAAUACCGCAUAAUGUCUACGGACCAAAGUGUGGGACCUUCGGGCCACAUGCUAUCGGAUGCGCCUACGUGGGAUUAGCUAGUUGGUGAGGUAAUGGCUCACCAAGGCGACGAUCUCUAGCUGGUUUGAGAGGAUGACUNACGCCACACUGGAACUGAGACACGGUCCAG
rnacentral:rRNA from 1 species